CCUACGGGAGGCAGCAGUGAGGAAUAUUGGUCAAUGGGCGUAAGCCUGAACCAGCCAAGUCGCGUGAGGGAUGAAGGUUCUAUGGAUCGUAAACCUCUUUUAUAAGGGAAUAAAGUGUGGGACGUGUCCUAUUUUGUAUGUACCUUAUGAAUAAGGAUCGGCUAACUCCGUUCCAGCAGCCGCGGUACUACGGCGAAUCCGAGCGUUAUCCGGAGUUAUUGGGUUUAAAGGGUGCGUAUGCGGCCUUUUAAGUCAGCGGUGAAAGUCUGUGGCUCAACCAUAGAAGUGCCGUUGAAACUGGGGGGCUUGAGUAUGUUUGAGGCAGGCGGAAUGCGUGGUGUAGCGGUGAAAUGCUUAGAUAUCACGCAGAACCCCGAUUGCGAAGGCAGCCUGCCAAGCCAUGACUGACGCUGAUGCACGAAAGGGUGGGGAUCAAACAGGAUUAGAUACCCCGGUAGUC
rnacentral:rRNA from 1 species